GACGAACGCUGGCGGCGUGCCUAGUACAUGCAAGUAGAACGCUGAAGGAGGAGCUUGCUUCUCUGGAUGAGUUGCGAACGGGUGAGUAACGCGUAGGUAACCUGCCUGGUAGCGGGGGAUAACUAUUGGAAACGAUAGCUAAUACCGCAUAACAGUAGAUAUCGCAUGAUAGCUGCUUGAAAGGUGCAAUUGCACCACUACCAGAUGGACCUGCGUUGUAUUAGCUAGUUGGUGAGGUAACGGCUCACCAAGGCGACGAUACAUAGCCGACCUGAGAGGGUGAUCGGCCACACUGGGACUGAGACACGGCCCAGACUCCUACGGGAGGCAGCAGUAGGGAAUCUUCGGCAAUGGACGGAAGUCUGACCGAGCAACGCCGCGUGAGUGAAGAAGGUUUUCGGAUCGUAAAGCUCUGUUGUAAGAGAAGAACGAGUGUGAGAGUGGAAAGUUCACACUGUGACGGUAUCUUACCAGAAAGGGACGGCUAACUACGUGC
rnacentral:rRNA from 1 species